rnacentral:rRNA from 1 species
GACGGAGGGUGCAAACGUUGUUCGGAUUUACUGGGCGUAAAGCGCGUGUAGGCGGCUUUGCAAGUCGGAUGUGAAAGCCCACGGCUCAACCGUGGAAGUGCAUCCGAAACUGCAUGGCUCGAGUCUCGGAGAGGAAGGUGGAAUGCUUGGUGUAGAGGUGAAAUUCGUAGAUAUCAAGCAGAACACCUGCGGCGAAGGCGGCCUUCUGGACGAUGACUGACGCUGAGACGCGAAAGCGUGGGGAGCAAACAGG